UACGGAGGGUGCAAGCGUUAUCCGGAAUCACUGGGUUUAAAGGGUGCGUAGGCGGUCUAAUAAGUCAGUCGUGAAAUCGCUGGGCUCAACCCAUGCAAUUGCGAUUGAUACUGUUAGACUUGAAUGGGGUUGAGGCUGGCGGAAUGCGACAUGUAGCGGUGAAAUGCUUAGAUAUGCGGAGGAACACCAAUGGCGAAGGCAAUCCCCUGGGCCGUGUACUGACGCUCAUGCACGAAAGCGUGGGGA
rnacentral:rRNA from 1 species